AUGUCCUUUUUUUUGUUUGUUUGUUUUUCCCUCCCCCUUCCCCCCCCCCCAACUUUUGCCAGAGCCACACGGUGUGGCGUCCGGGCCCGGGCCCCCGGCUCUGCGCCCCGGGACCUGGUUUCGGUCUCCCACGCGCCCCCCCACCCCCCCACCCCACCCCGCUGCUGCCCGUCGGGAGCUGAGCCAACGUGCCGCGGCCGCGCGUCCUCCGAGGGGGGCGGGGGGGCCGCCAACUUUACUUCGGGGAGGUGGCAACUCUCCGGGGAGUGUCCUCCGGGCUCGGCCCGCGGGGCGCACGUGGAGCGGCGGGUGGCGCGCGGCCUGGGGUCACGCCGAGCCAGGGCCCCGCACGCGCUCCCCGGGGCGGGGUGGGGCGGGGCGGGGCGGGGGGGUGGGGGUGGGGGUGGGGCGGGUGGCGGCCUCCCCGCGCGCGUGCAUGCCCAGCCCCGGGCCCCGGCGGGAGGGGGGGUCGUGCGCCCGGAUCCCACCUCCUCGCCUCACACGCCCCUCUCGGGAGCCGGGGAGGGGGCCGGGGAGGUAGCCCAGCCCCGCCGCCUCGGGGGAGCGCAGCCCAGACAGGCGUCUAGCGCGGGGUCCCCGGAGGGCCCGGCGCUGCCCCCGCCGCCGCCUCCCCGCUCGGGUCCCCGCCGCCCCCCAUCCCCACGCCCACCCCACCCCACCCCCACCCCCACCCCAGGGCGGCCGCCCGCACCCGCUGGGCCCGGGGGCCUGGGCACCCACCUGCCGCGGCCCCGUGCCCCGGCCCGGAGGCUGCCAUGCAGGCAAGAGGGGGAGACUCACCGCCGCUGCUCCUCCGGGGGCGCAGGGGGCCCCCCGGGGCUGCGCCUUCCUGGGCUCCCGGGAGGCGUGCGCGGGGCGGGGGGCGCCCGCGGGCCCUGCAGCCUCCGCCUCGAUUGGAGCCCAGCCUCAAAUCCUUCUCCGCGGGGGGGCGGGGGGACUUGCAGGCAAAAAGAUCCCAGGAUCCCACCCCUCCCCAGACGAGCGCCAAGUGAUGGGCGGGGGGGCGCGCGUAGGAAAUCCUUUUCUGCCGAGAGCACGGAGCCGACGGGGCUGCACCCGGCCUCCACGGUCCGCUGCCGCCACAAAGCCGCGCCCCCGCCCCCCCGGCCCCCCUCCCCCGCUCCCCCCCCCGCCCUAUGGCCGGCCCGGGGCGGGGGCUGGGCCGGCCCGGGGUUGGCGGCGCUGGGGAGGCGGCGGCGGCCCAGGCGGGGCGGCUCCUCCCCGGCCCGGAGAGAGGGCGCGCGCCCGCCUGCCCGGGUGGGGGCGCUGGGGGGGCUGGGGCGGGGGCCGGGGCGGGGGCCGGGGCGGGGGGGCCUUCCUAGAAACCCUCGCCAAAUAUAG
rnacentral:lncRNA from 1 species